rnacentral:rRNA from 1 species
UCGAGAAUUUUUCUCAAUGGGGGAAACCCUGAAGGAGCGACGCCGCGUGGGGGAUGAAGGACUUCGGUUCGUAAACCCCUGUCACUUGGGAACAAAAGUGCUAACCUAAUACGUUAGCGCCUGAUAGUACCAGGAGAGGAAGGCACGGCUAACUCUGUGCCAGCAGCCGCGGUAAUACAGAGGUGCCAAGCGUUGUUCGGAUUUAUUGGGCGUAAAGGGUGUGUAGGCGGUUAUGAAAGUCGGGUGUGAAAUACCGGAGCCUAACUCCGGAACGGCAUUCGAAACUCCAUAGCUAGAGAUCUGGAGAGGUGACUGGAAUUCUCGGUGUAGCAGUGAAAUGCGUAGAUAUCGAGAGGAACACCAGAGGCGAAGGCGAGUCACUAGACAUGAUCUGACGCUGAGACACGAAAGCUAGGGGAGCAAACGGGAUUAGAUACCCCCGUAGUCC